CCAUUUCUAGCUCCCACCAUCUCCACCUCCAUAGCCACCACCGCAAUGCCGCCACUCCUGCCGCCGCACCACCGCCUCAGGUUAUUAUGCGUCCACCACGUGGAGUUCGAGGCCGAGGUCGGGCCCGGGGGCCGGGGUGUCCUUCAGGACGAGUCUGAGGCUGCUGAGGCGGUAUCCGACCUGAGAACACAAGACUUGACAUACCUGCCCGAGUUUAUACUCAAUAAAAAAACCACUCCGCUUAGCUCGGAUCUGUCCCACAUAUAGUGGAAAGGGCAUGUACGAAUAGUGUGAAACAUUGUGUACAAAAAACUAUUUUAGUUUGCGUACAAAAAACUAAAAAAACCACUC